rnacentral:rRNA from 15 species
UUUGGUGGCGAUAGCGAAGAGGUCACACCCGUUCCCAUGCCGAACACGGAAGUUAAGCUCUUCAGCGCCGAUGGUAGUUGGGGGCUUCCCCCUGUGAGAGUAGGACGCCGCCAAGC